ensembl:misc_RNA 7SK 7SK RNA
GGAUUUGGUUCUGGCUUCAACAUCUGUUACCCCAUUGACCACUGGGGCUGAUUUGGCUGAUCUGGGUGACUAGGUUGGUAUCCUUCCUCCCUCACUGUUCUAUGUGCAUCCUUCCUGAAGCUUCAUGUUAGAUUGAGAGGGCAGCCUUCCCUGAAUAAAGGAGGACUGGACUUUGGUCAAGGGUAUAAAAGUAGCUGUGUUCCCCUGCUAGAACCCCCAAAUAAGUUCUGAAGAUUGCUUUUUUAUUUUUGUCAUUGAGUAAUAACCCUGUACAUAGGUUGUAUAAAUAUGUAAUAAUUUAUCUAC